CCUACGGGAGGCAGCAGUCGAGAAGCUUCGGCAAUGGGGCAAAGCCUGGGAGUUCGACGCCGCGUGAGCGAUUGAAGGCCCUAUGGGUUGUAAAGCUCUGUCAGAUUGGGAAGAAAUAUUCGUGGCCAAUACCCGCGAAGCUUGACGGUACCGUCAGAGGAAGCACCGGCUAACUCCGUGCCAGCAGCCGCGGUAAUACGGAGGGUGCGAGCGUUGUUCGGAUUUACUUGGGUAGUAAAGGGGCCGCCGGCCCUGAUAAGUCAGGGGUUAAAAAUGCACGGCUCAACCCAGUCCGCCCCUGAAACUGUCGGGCUUGAGUCCGGGAGAGGAAGGUGGAAUUCCUGGUGUAGCGGGAAAUGCGUAAAUAUCAGGAGGAACACCGAUGGCGAAGGCAGCCUUCUGGGCCGGUACUGACGCUCAGGCACGAAAGCCAGGGGAGCAAACGGGAUUAGAUACCCCGGUAGUCCUG
rnacentral:rRNA from 1 species